GCAGUAUUGAGUCUAGUUUGAGAGUCUACUCUCAGAUUGGUAAAUCGUGAAAGAACAUAUGAGGCUGACAGCGACAGAUCAUUCUAGCUAGCUACAGGGAUUCUCCUGCAUCAGGUUAAAUAACAGAGCUAUGGAUGAGCAAUACAUGGGAAAGCUACUGGUCGGAUUUUUAAGUUGUGAUGACAACUGCUGCAAAUGAGGCUAGCCAUCCCUUUUAAAGAAACAUAGCCUAGUCGAAUUGAGAAGCUUUCAUCUGUUGAAGGGUUCUAAGUUGGCAAAUGCAAAAAGCUUGAGUGGUAAUCCUUCCACCAAUCCACCAGAAGGCUUGAGUGGAUAUAGGAUGCGUAUCUUUUGAUUUAUAGGGAAGAUGAUGUCACAAGGGGAGCUGCCCCAACACUGAGUGAUGCAAGAGCUAUGAGAUUUUCUACUUUGAUCAUAUUCUAAUUGGAUGCUAAGUUGUCACAAUCUGCUUAAAUUCUAAGAAAACUGAAGUCUACACUGAGUGUGUUAAUGAUUUA